CUCAAAGGAAUUGACGGGGGCCCGCACAAGCGGUGGAGCAUGUGGUUUAAUUCGACGUCACGCGAGGAACCUUACCCGAUCUUGACAUCUCCGGAUAAAAGGUUAUUUACACCUACCCGAAGCUUAUCGCAGCUUAUACAGGUGCUGCAUGGCUGUCGUCAGCUCGUGCACGUGAGAUGUUCGGUUAAGUCCUGCAACGAGCGCAACCCCAUUUAUUUAGUUGCUAUCUAAUACAUAUGGGAACUCUACUCAGACUGCCUCGAGUAAUUAAGAGGAAGGUGGGGAUGACGUCAAAUCAUCAUGGCCCUUACGUCCAGGGACUACACACGUGCUACAAUGGGCGUUGACUAAUAGUGGAGAUUUUGGACUUGAACCAAAUUAAAAAAACCUUAAACUUCCCAGUUCGGAUUGUAGUCUGCAACUCGACUACUUGAAGUUGGAAUCGGCUAGUAAUCGUGCGUCAGCCCGUACUGACGCGGUGAAUACGUUCCCGGGUCUUGUACACACCGCCCGAUUCACCCAUGGGAAGUUGGGAUUACCAGAAGUAGUGCUCUAACCAACUGAGCUACGGGACUAUUUUUCAGAGUCCGUUAGCUU
rnacentral:rRNA from 1 species